rnacentral:rRNA from 1 species
CCUACGGGUGGCUGCAGUGGGGAAUAUUGGACAAUGGGCGAAAGCCUGAUCCAGCCAUGCCGCGUGUGUGAAGAAGGCCUUCGGGUUGUAAAGCACUUUCAGUGGGGAAGAAAGCUUUGGGGCUAAUACCCUCGAGGAAGGACAUCACCCACAGAAGAAGCACCGGCUAACUCCGUGCCAGCAGCCGCGGUAAUACGGAGGGUGCGAGCGUUAAUCGGAAUUACUGGGCGUAAAGCGCGCGUAGGCGGUCUGAUAAGCCGGUUGUGAAAGCCCCGGGCUCAACCUGGGAACGGCAUCCGGAACUGUCAGGAUAGAGUGCAGGAGAGGAAGGUAGAAUUCCCGGUGUAGCGGUGAAAUGCGUAGAGAUCGGGAGGAAUACCAGUGGCGAAGGCGGCCUUCUGGACUGACACUGACGCUGAGGUGCGAAAGCGUGGGUAGCAAACAGGAUUAGAUACCCGAGUAGUC